ensembl:lncRNA
UCUACACUUUGGAGCUGGCAGUUCCCUCUCAGCUGACGUCCAAUUCGGUAUCACCCUCAAUAAAUCGAGCAGAUGGUCUGGGGUCCGCUAUCGCGUGUGGCAGUUGCUGGCGUUGGCCCAGCCCUCGGUGUAGACUCCCUUUCUCCUGAGAACACCGCAGAGUUGUGUGAUAGACAAAGCGGGCCUUUAACUGCAACAAACCAGAUGUUGCCGACUGGAAGAGACCCGCAGUGGUUGAAAACAGAACUAUGAAUGAGUCAUGUUCAAUCAUCGCAGACAAGCAUAAAAGUAUAUAAAAGAUUAGUGCAGAAGAGAAUUUAUACCAGUCUCUCGUGCUGUCUGGGGCAUGAUUUAGAUUAAAAGGAGAAGAAAAAAAAAUCUCCAAACCACCUGGAGCAGCGUCGUCAGAAGGCUUUUAGGGUUUGGAUUUCCGUGUCUGUCGCUGGACCCUCUUAGGCGGCUUUUAUCUGGGGAGAGUCACUUGGACGCCCAUGGACACAACAGACCUGAACACGACUUGAUGUGGGCUUGCGUCAGGGGCUACGUCCGAGUGUGGUGGUCCUUACCCACCAGGUCCCCGACUCGGGUCCAAGCCGGCAGCCGCUUCUGAGGCUGCACCCUGUGAUUUGGAUGUGAGAUCAAAAUAGAUGCCUCCAGUCAGCUCUGCUUGGGCUUACUGCUUUAAUAAGGAAGCCGAGCUGGACAACACGCUGGGGAGGGCCUUUGCUCUGAGCUGGAUGGAAACACUGCCGAGCCCGUUUGAGAGAAGAAAGCACAGCGGAGUGAGGAGCAGCCCCCAGAGCCUUGCAGCGCGCACGGCGGCUCUCACUCAGAGACCACAGGCCGGAGCGCGCUGGCCUCACACACCGUCCGCAGCCCCUGAAGGAUGAAAGGCCGCGCCAGUGCUGCCAGGACCUCAGACGGCGGUUCCAGGGAGUCUGGAGGGCUGAAACCCAGCACUGACGGCUUCCAUGCCGUUCCUCUGGCUUGGAAAUUUACGCCACGGCUUUGAAACUCUGGAAUUCAUUGAACGAUGAUUUGUGACUGUGUGGAGGGCGCUCGUCUGCGUCUCGGAGGAGGCGGUGGGCCACUCCCGGUGGCUGCUGGUCCAAGUACUGUCAGCGCGCACAGCCGGGGAGAAGCGACGUGAGGCCGACGCAGAGUGUCGUCGGGCCGAGGGGGCGGCCCACCAGGGAAUGUCCAGAUUCGUUCUUCCCCCAAGGAAACCACCACGUCAUCAAUUCCACAUGUGGGAUACAGUGGGGCUUUCUCUAACAAAGGGGCUGACUUGCAUGCAGCCCCCCAAGCCGGGCUCCUUUAUACGUUUUCAGCAUCUUUUCAUUUAGUCCAAACCCACUUUAACUCAAUUUUGUGGGCUAAAAAUAUCUUGGUCUGAACCGUAAUCCCAUCAUCGUGAGACACUUUAUUUUCAGAUCUGUGCUUUCCCUCCGCUUCCCCCAAAUGGCUUUAUUUGCUUGUUUUUCUCAAUGAAGAUGAUUCUUACAGUGCUCUUGCCCUGCAUGCUUUUAGCCACUUCAUUUCUCUUCUGUGUGACUUCCAGAAGUUUCCUGUCCCUUAGACAGCAUUAAAAAAAGGCUAAUUCUUAAAUAGUCUUUACCAUGUGCUGGGCAUUGUUGUGAUCGAUUUGUGUAUUAACUUGUUGAAUCCCCCCCAUCCCCGAGGGCAUGUGUGUCGUCACGAGGGGCACUUCACCCGAUUCACAGAAAAUGUGUUUAUUAUGGAAAAACUGCAUGUGUUUCAGAAAGUUUUUUGCAGUGAAAUAAACUUGCUUUUACAACUCUGCUUUUUCCCCGU